rfam:Denitrobacterium detoxificans strain NPOH1, complete genome.
UGAACAGUAGUUCCGCUGCCAGAGACAGCAGGCACCGCAAGGUUUAAUCGCGUAAGCGGCCCGCCGAGGUGGUUGUAAAGCACAAGCUUUCACGACCCCCUGCGCUCUCUGGUGCAGGGGGUCGUUCUUAUUCGUG